rnacentral:tRNA from 1 species
GCCCGAGUGGUGAAAUUGGUAGACACGCAGUGUUGAGGGCGCUGUGCUCUUUGAGUGUGCCGGUUCGAGUCCGGCCUCGGGCAC